CGGAGCGUGGCGCAGCCUGGUAGCGCACUUGCAUGGGGUGCAAGGGGUCGGAGGUUCGAAUCCUCUCGCUCCGA
rnacentral:tRNA from 1 species